rnacentral:misc_RNA from 1 species
GGCAAGCAAGGAUGGGGCCACAUUCUGGGCCUCAAACAGGAAGGUUAGCAAUUGGUUCUCCUAUAAAUCCAAGAGAGACUCAAGAAGGAAAGAAAAUGAUGAAAAAUUUGGUGAAGCAAAGUCUGCAUAAGAAUAUGGAGAUGAUUACAAGGAGAGCCAAUGCUUCAGGGGAGUCUUCAAAGCUCAAAUCCUUGGUUAUCAGCACAAGUUCUAAGAGCCUGCCUUAUUAAAGAUUUUAU